rnacentral:rRNA from 1 species
UACGUAGGUGGCAAGCGUUGUCCGGAAUUAUUGGGCGUAAAGCGCGCGCAGGCGGCCUUUUAAGUCUGAUGUGAAAUCUUGCGGCUCAACCGCAAGCGGCCAUUGGAAACUGGGAGGCUUGAGUACAGAAGAGGAGAGUGGAAUUCCACGUGUAGCGGUGAAAUGCGUAGAUAUGUGGAGGAACACCAGUGGCGAAGGCGGCCAUCUGGGAAGCGACUGACGCUGAGACGCGAAAGCGUGGGGAGCAAACAGG